rnacentral:rRNA from 1 species
UUAAGUUAGAAAGGGCGCACGGUGGAUGCCUUGACACUAGGAGUCGAUGAAGGACGGGACUAACGCCGAUAUGCUUCGGGGAGCUGUAAGUAAGCUUUGAUCCGAAGAUUUCCGAAUGGGGAAACCCACCAUACGUAAUGGUAUGGUAUCCUUAUCUGAAUACAUAGGGUAAGGAAGACAGACCCAGGGAACUGAAACAUCUAAGUACCUGGAGGAAGAGAAAGCAAAUGCGAUUUCCUGAGUAGCGGCGAGCGAAACGGAACAUAGCCCAAACCAAGAGGCUUGCCUCUUGGGGUUGUAGGACAUUCUAUACGGAGUUACAAAGGAACGAGGUAGACGAAGCGACCUGGAAAGGUCCGUCGUAGAGGGUAACAACCCCGUAGUCGAAACUUCGUUCUCUCUUGAAUGUAUCCUGAGUACGGCGGAACACGUGAAAUUCCGUCGGAAUCUGGGAGGACCAUCUCCCAAGGCUAAAUACUCCCUAGUGAUCGAUAGUGAACCAGUACCGUGAGGGAAAGGUGAAAAGCACCCCGGAAGGGGAGUGAAAGAGAUCCUGAAACCGUGUGCCUACAAAUAGUCAGAGCCCGUUAACGGGUGAUGGCGUGCCUUUUGUAGAAUGAACCGGCGAGUUACGAUCCCGUGCGAGGUUAAGCUGAAGAGGCGGAGCCGCAGCGAAAGCGAGUCUGAAUAGGGCGUUUAGUACGUGGUCGUAGACCCGAAACCAGGUGAUCUACCCAUGUCCAGGGUGAAGUUCAGGUAACACUGAAUGGAGGCCCGAACCCACGCACGUUGAAAAGUGCGGGGAUGAGGUGUGGGUAGCGGAGAAAUUCCAAUCGAACCUGGAGAUAGCUGGUUCUCCCCGAAAUAGCUUUAGGGCUAGCCUUAAGUGUAAGAGUCUUGGAGGUAGAGCACUGAUUGGACUAGGGGUCCUCAUCGGAUUACCGAAUUCAGUCAAACUCCGAAUGCCAAUGACUUAUCCUUAGGAGUCAGACUGCGAGUGAUAAGAUCCGUAGUCAAAAGGGAAACAGCCCAGACCGCCAGCUAAGGUCCCAAAGUGUGUAUUAAGUGGAAAAGGAUGUGGAGUUGCUUAGACAACUAGGAUGUUGGCUUAGAAGCAGCCACCAUUUAAAGAGUGCGUAAUAGCUCACUAGUCGAGUGACUCUGCGCCGAAAAUGUACCGGGGCUAAAUACACCACCGAAGCUGCGGAUUGAUACCGAAUGGUAUCAGUGGUAGGGGAGCGUUCUAAGGACAGUGAAGUCAGACCGGAAGGACUGGUGGAGUGCUUAGAAGUGAGAAUGCCGGUAUGAGUAGCGAAAGACGGGUGAGAAUCCCGUCCACCGAAUGCCUAAGGUUUCCUGAGGAAGGCUCGUCCGCUCAGGGUUAGUCAGGACCUAAGCCGAGGCCGACAGGCGUAGGCGAUGGACAACAGGUUGAUAUUCCUGUACCACCUCUUUAUCGUUUGAGCAAUGGAGGGACGCAGAAGGAUAGAAGAAGCGUGCGAUUGGUUGUGCACGUCCAAGCAGUUAGGCUGAUAAGUAGGCAAAUCCGCUUAUCGUAAAGGCUGAGCUGUGAUGGGGAAGCUCCUUAUGGAGCGAAGUCUUUGAUUCCCCGCUGCCAAGAAAAGCUUCUAGCGAGAUAAAAGGUGCCUGUACCGCAAACCGACACAGGUAGGCGAGGAGAGAAUCCUAAGGUGUGCGAGAGAACUCUGGUUAAGGAACUCGGCAAAAUGACCCCGUAACUUCGGGAGAAGGGGUGCUUUCUUAACGGAAAGCCGCAGUGAAUAGGCCCAAGCGACUGUUUAGCAAAAACACAGCUCUCUGCGAAGCCGUAAGGCGAAGUAUAGGGGGUGACACCUGCCCGGUGCUGGAAGGUUAAGGAGAGGGGUUAGCGUAAGCGAAGCUCUGAACUGAAGCCCCAGUAAACGGCGGCCGUAACUAUAACGGUCCUAAGGUAGCGAAAUUCCUUGUCGGGUAAGUUCCGACCCGCACGAAAGGUGUAACGAUUUGGGCACUGUCUCAACCAGAGACUCGGUGAAAUUAUAGUACCUGUGAAGAUGCAGGUUACCCGCGACAGGACGGAAAGACCCCGUGGAGCUUUACUGUAGCCUGAUAUUGAAUUUUGGUACAGUUUGUACAGGAUAGGCGGGAGCCUUUGAAACCGGAGCGCUAGCUUCGGUGGAGGCGCUGGUGGGAUACCGCCCUGACUGUAUUGAAAUUCUAACCUACGGGUCUUAUCGACCCGGGAGACAGUGUCAGGUGGGCAGUUUGACUGGGGCGGUCGCCUCCUAAAGUGUAACGGAGGCGCCCAAAGGUUCCCUCAGAAUGGUUGGAAAUCAUUCGUAGAGUGCAAAGGCAUAAGGGAGCUUGACUGCGAGACCUACAAGUCGAGCAGGGACGAAAGUCGGGCUUAGUGAUCCGGUGGUUCCGCAUGGAAGGGCCAUCGCUCAACGGAUAAAAGCUACCCCGGGGAUAACAGGCUUAUCUCCCCCAAGAGUCCACAUCGACGGGGAGGUUUGGCACCUCGAUGUCGGCUCAUCGCAUCCUGGGGCUGUAGUCGGUCCCAAGGGUUGGGCUGUUCGCCCAUUAAAGCGGUACGCGAGCUGGGUUCA